rnacentral:rRNA from 1 species
GACAGAGGUCCCGAGCGUUAGGCGGAAUCACUGGGCUUAAAGCGUGUGUAGGCGGAUCGUUAAGUGCCUUGUGAAAUCCCAUGGCUUAACCAUGGAACUGCUUGGCAUACUGGCGGUCUUGAGCCACUUAGGGGCAACCGGAACAAAUGGUGGAGCGGUGAAAUGCGUAGAUAUCAUUUGGAACGCCAAUGGUGAAAACAGGUUGCUGGGACGGUACUGACGCUGAGACGCGAAAGCGUGGGGAGCAAACAGG